rnacentral:rRNA from 1 species
GAUCCUGGCUCAGGAUGAACGCUGGCUACAGGCUUAACACAUGCAAGUCGUGGGGAAACGGCAUUAUGUGCUUGCACAUUCUGGACGUCGACCGGCGCACGGGUGAGUAUCGCGUAUCCAACCUGCCCCUUACUUGGGGAUACCCCGUUGAAAGACGGCCUAAUACCCGAUGUGUUUCAUUGACGGCAUCCGAUAUGAAACAAAGGUUUUCCGGUAAGGGAUGGGGAUGCGUCUGAUUAGCUUGUUGGCGGGG